rnacentral:lncRNA from 1 species
AUGUGUCCAAAUCAGAGGAAACAAAAUACUCGAUCGGCAAAUGGGAGUCCAAGCGGCAAGGUUGUGUGGAAGGGGAAAAUCGAGUCGGAGUCCAAGCGGCAAGGUCGUGUGGAAGGGGAAAAUCGAGUCGGAUUGCAUGUUCACCAAGAAGAGUGGUGAACAUGCAAGCGCUUCAGUUUCAGAGGCAAAAUGUAAAACACAGCCGUUCAACGAAACCGACAGAAGACCCAUUUGUUUCGAAGGCAACACUGUGAGCGAAGCCUUCAACGAAAAUUGGGAGGACGAAGAGUGGGAGAGAGGAGAUGAUUUUGAUUGGAAGGAUUUUUUACCGAUAAGAAAACGACGGCCAAAGAACAACUGGAAUACGUUGAAGAUGAGUUGAGGAAAAAAGGGAAAAGUUUUUUCGGAAAUUAAAUCGAAAUCAAUGUCGUUACAAGGAUUGAAGAAAGGGGAUAAUUUCGAUUGGAAGGAUGGAGGCAACACUGUGAGCGAAGCCUUCAACGAAAAUUGGGAGGACGAAGAGUGGGAGAGAGGGGAUGAUUUCGAUUGGAAGGAUUUUUUACCGAGAAGAAAACGACGGCCAAAGAACAACCGAAAUA